GUGUCCGUAGCUCAGCUGGAUAGAGUACCUGGCUACGAACCAGGCGGUCAGAGGUUCGAAUCCUCUCGGACGCGCCA
rnacentral:tRNA from 1 species